UUCUUUUGGUGUUUUUUUUUUUUUUUUUUUUACACAGAAAUGGAAUUAUUGGAUCAUAUGGCAGUUCAUUUUCAAACUUCUAAGGAAAUGACCAAAUCUGUUUAUUCUCCAAAAAUAUAGACUCGGAAGAAUCUUUGAUGGCCUCAGAUUCUCUAGGCUGCAUGGUGGAAGCUACUCUGGGUAGAGCAAUUCUAAAGCUAGGGAUCAAGCUAAAAUCCCCCUUAUCUUUUGCCAGUUGGCCCAUGAGAUGACAGAACAAGACCAGGCCUAACACACAGCCUUGCGAAGUCUUAAGGAAAUGUUCCUGUGGCUUCGCGUCUUCUCUCCAGGCCAUGUGAUGGUUCUCACUUCUCACCACCUUUGGCUUCCCCCACAGAGGCUGCAUUAUUUCACCUGUGCAGCUUCCCUUGGCUUACUCAGAGCAUGGACAGCUCUCAUCUGCUGUAAACCACAGCUCUCUGCUCCUGUAGAGCCUCCCAGAUCCAACAUUUGGGAAAAUCACAAGCUGGGAAGAGAAAGAUGUUUCCUACAGAACAUGCCUGGGAAACGGAGAUCUUCUGAGGAUGUGUCAGGUUGAAUAUUGAAUCAGCUGAGAUGUGUGUAGCUGCAAGUCACGUCUGACUAACAGUGGCUAAUGUAAAGACGUUUAAUUAAUUCAUGGAAGUGGAAGUCUGGGCAGUUUUAGAUUUGUUGUGAGGACUCAAUGGUGUCAUCUAGGAACCUGGAUCUUUCUAUGUAACUCCACUCGUUGGCUUUUAUUCUUAGGCUUUUGUUCUUAUUGCCGUGUGGUUGGUUACCAGUAGUGGCCUCACCUUCAAACAGUAAAUCCUCACACAUUCACGUUUAAGGUUGGAGGAAAUGGAAGCUCUCAUCUUCUCUCUCUCUUGUUUAACAAGAAAAAUCAUUCUUUUUUUUUUUUUUUUUUGGUGCUGGGGAUUGAACCCAGGGCCUUGUGCAUGUAAGGCAAGCACUCUACCAACUGAGCUAUAUUCCCCAGCCCCAAGAAAAAUCAUUCUUUCAGAGGCUCUGCCAAGUGAAAUUUCCCUUAGAGUUCAUCAGAAUCAAGUUGUACCUUCCCGCCUGAGAUAAUCACUGGGCAUUGGGAUUGGUAUUGUCAUGAUAGUCUUGGACAAAUUACAGUUGAUCUGGUGGGGACAGAAACAUGUUGCUACCUGAGCAACAGUGGAGUGCCAUCCCCCUGAGAGAGCAAGGGUUAGGAAUUAUUAGUGUCUAUCACAAAUAUAUAACCUGGAGGAAGAAUUGACAAAGACGGCCAUUUUUAUAUAUACAUUGUAAUUUAGAAAGACAUUUAAUGAAGGACUUUUAAACUUCUCUGUUAAACUCACCAAGACAGAAAGACUAGAUACCUUGCCCUAUUUCUUAAGUAUUUCCUUCAACCCCUUUUGAUCUUUCUCCAGCUGUGCUAUAGAGAUAAUGAUAACAUAACUGAAUAAUAUUUCAUGGUGCACAAAUAAUUUUUACAUACAUCAUCCAUUUGGCCUUCAUGCUAACUAUGUGAACUAUGUAAGAAAUUAAUAUAAUUUUUAUUAUUUUUUAUUGGACUUAGGUUUAGAAGGUUGAGCUAAUCAUACUCUCUGCACAUGGAACACUAGCAUCUCUUUUUGUACCUGACCUCUGUCUAUUCAUAAUUAACUAACAGUUCAUUCUCCUUUUUCACUAUCUAUCUCCCACUCAAAUUGCUUUUCCUCCAUAUAGACAAAUCAUUCUAACUAUGUCCAAUGUCUAUCUUGUUAUUUAUAUGUAUAUUUGAAAAAUGUGUAUUUUGUUUAGAGUGCAUGCAGUUUCAUUUACAUAAAAGGUAAAACCCUGUAGGUCUCAGUCUUGUUUGUACAUUUUUCACUGUGCACUGUUUUCAAGAGUGAUUCCUGUUGCCCUGUGGUCUACUCCUUGCCUGGAAAUGCUGCAUAAUAUUCCACCAAGUCCUUUCAUCAUACUUUACUCAGCUCUGCCCCCUGGUGGAAACCUUAAUGGCCUCCCACUCUACCAACAAACAUCACUAUUACACUAUUUUGGGAAGUAUUUGAAAAAGGAGGGGAAGGGCAAUAUAUCUAAACUCCUUUCUUUCCACUUACCAGGGGCCAGAAUGUCAUGCUUCAAAGACUGUCUGACUUCAAAGUAAGUGGAGUCAUUGAAUCAGAUAGUGUUAUAAUCAGAAUGGGCCUUAGAGACUGUCUAGUCUAACUCUCCUAGUUAUAGAUAAGGAAAUGGAGGCCCAGAGAUGGGAAGUCAAUUGUCUGAGGUCCACACAGGUAGAGACAGAACCCGACAGGCAACUGGAGUCCUGCAAACCCAGCCAUUGCCCUUUUCACUUCCCUGCACGCAGCAGCCUUUCUCUGCCUACCUGGGAAUGAGCACUAUAACUCUCAGAGACCCAAGGGGUGCUAUCAAUGGUGGUGCGCUGCAAAUGUUUAACAAUCACCUUUCUGGGUGUGUGUGGGUGGGGAGGGAACCAAACAGACUCUAUUUGUAGUAUUUGACAGUUUCCAUGGGGUAAAUUCUCCCACUCUGGCCAAUUUCAAGCUGCCAAAGGGCUGUCACUGAAUGUGGACUUGGAGCACUGGGCCCCAGGAAUAGGACAACACAUGGAUGUUUCCAACCACCCAGAUGCAAGAGAUAAAGUUAACUGCCAGAGUAUAGAUGAGAGUUAAUUUGGUAAAAUGGUCAGGAGAUGAUGCAUUUUUAAAAAAUUUUUAGUAUAAUCUAGUUGAUGGUAAGCUUAACCAAAAUGUAAUAUCUAAUAAAGGCCGUGUUUAUUAUCAGCUCAUGAAAUUCAUGAAAAUUGAAUACUCAGCUCUCCUGAGCUAGGGUGAGUCAGCUCUGUGCUCCAUGGCUUAAAGGAAUGAAUUCCUCUCUGUGUAGCAGCCUGUCUUCCUGGUUUAUACAUUUGUCUUGAUUCUUUUCAAUACUCUUUGGUGGAAAUAUGAAAUAUGAAUAUAGCAGGGGAAAAGGCAGAGGAUAAGUGAGUUAUUCUGGAGAUAAAUUUUUUGUACAGCUGGAAUUUUAGCUUCUCUCAUAGAUGAACUUUUAAAAGAAUGGUAUUGCACUCUUUUGUACUUCAUUAUACACAAGGCAUCAUGACUUUUAUUGACAACUCAAGGCAUAUUUAAAUGUGGAAAGCUGUUUGCUCCUGGAAUAAAUGACCCCAGACUGCUGUGCUAUUUGUGACUCUU
rnacentral:lncRNA from 1 species